GUUCUCUCUGGCUGAGGGGCCAGCGGGGUUUGGGACCCCUCUAGGGCACCUGCCUGGGAUCUUCCUAGGAGAGGGCUCC